rnacentral:lncRNA from 1 species
AAGCUCUUAGAUUUGUUUAAUUUUAAAACCGUGUUUAGGAAAUUUGAAAAAAGGGAAAACAAAGAAGAAGAUAAAAAAAGUCUAAUUCGUAAAUAAAAGGCUUUGAAGGCUUCAAAUAUUCAUAUAGCCUUAAAACUCAUGUAAAAAUAAAAGGCUUUGAAGCUUCAAGUAUCAAUAAAUCUUCAAAUAUAUUGUUAGAUGAGAAUUACCUAGUAAGGUUUCAGAUUUUGGAAC